rnacentral:rRNA from 1 species
UUUUUGAUAAUAAUUUAAAGUCUAAUCUGCCCACUGAAUUAUUUUAAAGGGCUGCAGUAUAUUGACUGUACAAAGGUAGCAUAAUCAUUAGUCUUUUAAUUGAAGACUUGUAUGAAUGAUUUGAUGAAAUAUAAACUGUCUCUUUAUUAAUAAUAGAAAUUAAUUUUUUAGUUAAAAAGCUAAAAUUUAUUUAAAAGACGAGAAGACCCUAUAGAGUUUUAUAUUUAAAUUUAUAUUAAUUUUUUAUAAAAUUUAUAUUUAAUAUUUUUUUAAUUAUUUUAUUGGGGUGAUAGAAAAAUUUAUUAAACUUUUUUUAAAAUUUUUACAUUAAUAUAUGAAAUUUUGAUCCAUAAUUUAUGAUUAAAAGAUUAAAUUACCUUAGGGAUAACAGCGUAAUUUUUUUUUUUAGUUCUUAUAAGAAAAAAAGUUUGCGACCUCGAUGUUGGAUUAAGAUAAAAUUUAAAUGCAAAAGUUUAAAAUUUU